rnacentral:lncRNA from 1 species
AUGAUUUUUAAUUCUAACGCUGUCUAAGUUUGAUUUGGGAAUCGACGUUGUUUAAAUACUUCAGACUAAUCAACGUUGAUUAUAAUUGAACUUAAAUCAGAAAGGCAUGAUCUUCAUAGGCACAAAUUAUCACUGAUCUUGUAGACACAAUUAACAAAAAUUCAUUUGUGAGGAACCAAUAAGCUCACCUGAAAUGCGUGUACUUUUGUUGAUUGUGUAUUUGACUCCAAAGAUGCUAGCUCAGCCUGAAAUUAGAUUGGGCCUGCAUUUGAAUGUAUGUAACAUUGUGAAUAAGCUUGGACGUUGCCUAUUAAUGUGGUUAAGUUCAGACACUUUUUAAGUUGGAGCUUAAGGUUUUGAGUCCUUCAAUUAAUUAGGGUCUUUUCUUUAAUUUUUUGAGACAAAAAAAAUAGAAAAUCAUAGUCACUUUAGGAUUUCCCUUUAAAUAAAAUGAGAUGAGCCUCACCAGAUAAAAAGUGCAAAAUUGCGGGGUUCAAAAAUAUAUAUAAAAUAAUACUUAGAAUUAGGGAUGGGCCAUUUAGCAAAUUUUAUGGCCCUCCUCAAAGAUAAUAAAGCGUUAGUCACUUUAAGCGCAUUUUUAAUAAUUUACUUUCUUAAACUCAGGUGCGCAUUUAUGUGACCCUAAUCCAAAUCUCAAUGGAGUCGAAAUGUAUCAACAACCACGUGUGCAUUGAUAUGACGUGGUUCGAGAUGCGUUUUCACGACGUUGCAAGUCUCGUUAAAAAUAAUAAUGAUAAAAGUGUUUCAAAACUGAAAAGCACAUAAGCUAAAACAUAUUUUGAAAUCAGAUAAAUCCAAAUAUAACAGUUGAGUGACCGUGCUAGAACCACGGAACCUGGGAAUGCCUAACACCUUCUCCCAGGUUAACAGAAUUCCUUACUCGGAUUUCUGGUUUGCGGUCUGUUAACAGAGUCAUAUUUUCCUCGGUUCGGGAUUCAACCGGUGACUUGGGACACCAUUAAUCUCCAAGUGGCGACACUGAACUUUAAUAAUUAAAUUCUGUUCCGAUUGUCCUUUAAGUGGAAAAACUAUUUUACACCCUUGCGGGUGUAGUGAAAAAGGAGGUGUGACAGCUCUGGCGACUCUGCUGGGGAUCAAACCCAGAACUUCGGGAUUCCGGUAGAUCCACGCGCACUAUGAGUUGGACUAGGAGAUGGUAUCCCAGGAGGUACACUAGAUAAUUAUAUUUGGGACUACAUGAUGGUAUCCUGGGAGAUCCUCGGUUGUUAUCUCUGAGUUGAAUUAUACUCUUUUCUAUGAUUAUUUUGUCUCUAUUAUAGUUCUUGUUGUUCCUUCUAUUCUAUGUUAUUUAUUACUGUUGCACUCAUUCUAUAAAGUUAUACCUUAUAUUUCAUUUAUUCUCAGUAGGGCCCUGAAAAUCCUCGUCACUACCUGAUCAAGGUUAGGCACGACACUUAAUGAGUACCAUUGUGGUGUACUCAUGCCUUUUCUGCACAUGUUUUUCAUGUGCAUAUCCAGGUACUUCCACUCAGCCUUAUCAUACUUGAGCAAGGCUCUUUUGUAGAUACUUCGAGGUAUAUCAGCCAGUCCGCAGACCGAGGAGUCCAUUUCUAUCCUCGGUACUAGUAUAGCCAUUCUGUAUUAUCCUUGUUGAUAGACAUUUCUGGAGUUAGAGUUUUUUAUGUAAACUCUUAGCUUGUGAUUCAUGGAGUUCUGUAUUUUGGGAGUGUUAGGUUGAUAUUUUUUUACUGUUAUAUGCCAGGCGACAUCAUAAACAUUGUUUCAUUUUAUUAUCUUAGUUUUUAAUUAUUUACUUUCCGCAACUAUUUCUUUCCACAUUUGUUAGGCUUACCUAGUCGUAGAGACUAUCACGAUAGUUUACAGGGGGCGACUUGGGGUGGUCAGAAAUUGGUAUUAGGGCUCGAGGCUCAUAUGAGUCAUGUAUCUCAAGCCAAUUAUUUAGAGUCUCGCGGAUCGGUACGACAACGUUUGUACUUAUCUAUGAGAGGCUAUGCAACUUUUAGGAAAAAUUCCAUUUCGUUUGAUUUUAUUAUCAUGCUAGAUUUUUGAUAUCACAAUUCUAAUUUUCUGUCUUCUAUUCUCUCAUAGAUGGUGAGGACACAUGCAACCCAAGAUGAUCAGGAACCCGUGCCCACUACUGUAGCCGUCAGAGGUCGGGGCAGGGUAGAGGUCGAGGACGCGCACGUGGUGCAGCCAGAGCUCCUGCACGAGCUGCUGCCGAGGAGCCAACAGCAGUUUCCAGCCAGAUCCCAGGCACCUGAUAUGCCUACUUCUACUAGUACUCCAACACUUUAGGAGACUCUAUCAUUGUUCAUGAGUUUGUACACCAUUUUGGCUUAGGCAGGAUUACUUCCCCUUGAUGUAGCAAAAUCCCAGGUCGGGGGAGGAACACAGACUCUGCCUCCUACACUCCUGAGCAGUGAGUGCAUGUAGAUCACUCCUAGAGAUUAUUCUGGAACAACAUGCAUCCCCAGAUCAGCCCGAGGACAAGGCAUCACUCUUCGAGGAUGAGUAGAUGUGGGUUGAGAGGUUCAAGAAGCACAAGCCUCCUGUAUUCAGUGGUCUAGCAUCAGAUGAUGCUCUAGGAUUUCUAGAUGAGUGCUACCGUAUUCUCUGUACCAUGGGUAUAUUAGGAAUAAGCGGGAUUUCCUUCACCGCUUUCCAGCUUCGAGGAGCUACCUAUGAGUGGUGGCAUAUUUAUGAGUUAGACAGUCCCGAUAAGGAAGCUUCUCUGACUUGGACUCAGUUUUCAGAUGUGUUCCUAAGAGAGUAUGUUCCUCAUAGCCUCAGGGACGUAUCAUGUCCAAAGUUUGAGCAUAUACACCAGGGUGCUAUGAUUGUCUCGCAGUAUGCUAUUCAUUACAUCAGCUUGGCUAGACACGAACCAGCUUUGGUUUCUACUAUUCGCGGGAGGGUUCACCGAUUUAAUUGAGGGGUUUAUUCCCAACAUCAGGUCUAUCCUGACUCGUGAGUUCGAUCUGAAUAUUUCUUAUCAGUAGGUGGUAAGCAUUGCUUGGAGGAUCAAGCGUAUGCAUGCUAGGGAUAGAAAGGAGAGAGAGGCCGAGAAGUCUCAAGAGUACCAUUUUUCUGGUGCUCGUGCCCCAGCUGUAGGUUAUCAUGGUAGGUGUUACAUAAAUUACCCUUUUCAUUCAGCUCUCACAGCAGCCAUUGGUAUCCUAGCUUCUCCUAGGCCUUAGGAACCUUAUUAUGCACCUCUAGUAUCUAGUGUGCCUCCUGCACGGGGUGCUUUUAGUGGUCAGUCCAACAGAUCUAUCCCGAGCAAGUCAUAGGCGCCACGUCCUCCUAGAGAAUGUUUUGAAAAUGAUGGUACAUUUCAUAUGGUGCGAGAUUGCCCCAAACUUAGGAGGGGGAGAAACUCUAUUAACUUCUUAGCCACAGCGUGCCUCGCGCAGUUCUCAGGCUUUGGUUACAGCUCCAGUUGCUAACCCACCAGCUCAGCCAGCUAGAGGUGGAGGUCGAGGAGGUAGGAGUCGCCCUAGAAGGGGAGGCCAGGCGAGAUAUUAUGCCCUUCCUGGUCGUACCGAGGUUGUUGCCUCUGAUUCAAUAGUCACAAGUAUGGCCUUGGUUUGUCAUAGAGAUGGAUCAGUUCUAAUCGAUCCAGGCUCCACUUAUUGAUAUGUGUCUUCUUAUUUUGCUUCGCAAUUGGGUGUAUCUCAGGAUUCUUUGAGUUCCCUUGUUUAUGUUUAUACUCCUGUAGGAGAUUCUCUUGUUGUGGACCAGAGCCGAUUUAUUGUUGCUUAGCAUGGUAGAUUUUAAUAUUAUCUUGGGCAUGGACUGAUUCUCUCCCCAUUAUGAUAUUCUUGAUUUUAAUUCCAAUACCAUGAUGCUGGCUAUGCCAGGUGUACCACGUGUUAAGCGUAGGGGUGCUUUAGAUCACACUCCUAGUAGAGUUAUUUCUUUUCUUAAGGCUCAGCAAAUGGUUGAGAAGGGGUGUGACGCAUAUCUAGCUUAUGUGAGAGAUGUCAGUAUUGAUACCCUUACAGUUGAUUUAGUGCCAGUAGUACGGGAUUUUUCUGUGUGUUUCUAUCUGAUCUUCUGGGUGUGCCGCCUGAUAGAGAUAUUGAUUUUGGUAUUAACCUGUUGCUGGGUAGUCAGCCCAUUUCUAGUCCUCCAUAUCAUAUGGAUCCUUCUGACUUGAAUGAGUUAAAGGAUCAGUUACAGGAAUUGCUUGAUAAGGGUUUUAUUAGGCCUAGUGUAUCACUGUGGGGUGCUCUUGUCUUGUUUGUGAAGAAGAAGGAUGGUUCUAUGCAUAUGUGCAUUGAUUAUCGUUAGUUGAACAAAGUUACAAUGAACAAUCGUUAUCCUUUUCAUUGUAUUGAUGAUUUGUUUGAUCGGCUAUAGGGUGCACAAGUGGUUUCUAAGAUUUACUUGCGUGCAGGUUACCAUCAGUUAAAGAUUCGGGAGACUGAUAUCCUGAAGACUGCGUUCAGGACUCGUUAUGGUCAUUACAAGUUUCUUUUUAUGUCAUUUUAGUUUACCAAUGCCCUAGCAGCCUUUAUGUAUUUGAUGCACAGUGUGUUCCGACUAUAUCUUGACUCGUUCGUCAUUGUCUUUAUUGAUGAUAUUCUGGUGUAUUUCGGGAGUCGGGAAGAUCAUGAGCAGCACUUGAGGACAGUGAUCCAGACUUUGAGAGAGAAGAAAUUAUAUGCUAAGUUCUCAAAAUGUGAGUUUUGGUUGGAUUAUGUGGUAUUCUUGGUCACUUGGUUUCUAAUGAGGGGAUAAAAGUUGAUCCGAAUAAAUUGAAAGCAGUGCAGAGUUGUCCCAGACCAUCUACAGCUAUAGAGAUCUGCAAAUUUCUUGGCUUGGCGGGUUACUACCGUCGAUUUGUUGAGGGGUUUUCAUCUAUUACAGUGCCUAUGACCAGGCUGACCUAGAAGGGUGCUCUGUUCCAGUAUACGGAAGAGUGUGAGGCAAGCUUUCAAUAGCUCAAGACUGAUUUGACAACAACCUAGUUUUAAUAUUGCGUAGAGGUUCGGGGUCUUAUACUGUCUAUUGUGAUGCCUCGAGAAUUGGCCUUAGAGCGGUAUUGAUGCAAGAUGGUAGUGUGACUGCCUAUGCAUCCAACAAGUUAACAGUACAUGAGAUGAAUUAUCUUGUCCAUAAUCUCGAGUUAGCUGCUAUUUUUCACGCGUUGAAGAUCUAGCCCCAUUAUUUGUACGGUGUGCCUUGUGACAUUUAUACUGAUCACGGGAGUUUGCAGGAUUUGUUCAUGCAAAAUGACCUUAAUUUGCAUCAGCUAAUGUGGUUAGAGUUGUUGAAGGACUAUGAUAUCACUUUUUUAUCACCCGGUCAAGGCUAAUGUGGUGGCCGAUGCUUUGAGUCAUCGGGCAGAGAGUUUGGAAAGUUUGGCUUAUUUACCAACAGCGGAGAGGCCCAUGGUGAUGGAUGUUCAGGACUUAGCCAGCCAGUUUGUGAGAUAGGAUCUUUUGGAGCCCAGUCGGAUUCUAGCUUUCAUGGUUUCUCAAUCUUCAUUAUUUGAUCGUAUCAGGGAGCGUCAGUUUAAUGACUCUCAUUUGCUUGUCCUCCAGGACAAGUUUCAGCACAGUGAUGCCAAAGAUGUGACUAUUGGUGAUGAUGGGGUAUUGAGGAUGCUAGAUCGGAUUUGUGUAACAAAUGUCGAUGGGCUUUGGGAGUUGAUUAUAUAGGAGGCCCAUAGUUCACAGUAUUCCAUUCAUCUGGGUGCCGCGAAGAUGUACCAGAAUUUGAGGCAGCACUAUUGGUAGAGGCGAAUGAAGAAAGAUAUAGUUGGUUUUGUAGCUGGGUGCCUCAAUUGUCAGCAAGUGAAGUAAGAGCACCGGAGACCGUGCAAUAUACUUCAGCAGAUAGAGAUUCUAGAGUGGAAGUGGAAGUGGGAGCGGAUCACCAUAGACUUUGUAGUUGGGCUCCCACGAAAUUUGAGGAAGUUCAAUGCCAUUUGGGUAAUUGUGGAUCGGCCGACCAAGUCCGCGCAUUUUAUUCUUGUGUGUACUACCUAUUCUUCAGAGCGUCUAGCGGAGAUUUAUAUCUGGGAGAUUGUUCCUCUGCAUGGUAUUCCAGUUUCCAUCAUUUCAGAUAGAGAUACUCACAUCAAGGUUCUGGAGGGUCGUACAACAUGAGGUGGGUAUUUGAGUGGAGUUGAGUACAAUAUUUUACCCUCACAUAGAUGGGCAGUCGAGCGGACUAUUCAGAUUAUUGAGGAUGGCUCUGUGCAUGUGUGAUUGAGUUUGGAGUGUCUUAGGAUCAGUUCUUGCCCAAUUGCGGAGUUUUCCUACAACAAUAGCUAUCAGCCUAUCAUUCAGAUGGCACCGUAUAAGGUUUUAUAUUGUAAGCAGUGUAGAUCCCCGGUGGGUUGAUUUGAGCCGGAUGAGGCUAGAUUAUUGGGCACAAACUUGGUUUAGGAUGCAUUAGAGAGAAUAAGGUGAUUCAAGAUAGACUCCAUACAGCCAAGUCCAGACAGAAGAGUUACGCGGACCGGAAGGUUCGUGUUUCCAUAUGGUUGGGGAGCGGGUUCUGCUUCAGGUUUCUCCUAUGAAGGGCGUUAUGAGAUUUGGUAAGAAAGGGAACUUGAGUACGAGUUUUAAUGACCCUUUUGAGAUAUUGAGGUAUGUUGCGGAGGUUGCUUAUAAGUUUUCCUUACCUCCCAGAUUCGCAGGAUUCCAUCCGGUAUUUCAUGUCUCAAUCCUCCAAAAGUAUCAUGGUGAUCCGUCGCACGUUUUGGAUUUUAGUUUAGUCUAGUUGGACAAGUAUCUAUCUUAUGGUGAAGAGACAGUGGCCACGUUGUACAGGCAUGUUCUAAAGCUAAGGUCAAAGAACAUUGCAUCAGUGAAGGUUCAGUGGCGGGGUCAGCCGGUCAAGGAGGCAACCUGGGAGACCGAGAAGGAUAUGCGCAACCGUUACCCUUAUUAGGGAAACGAAUUUCUAACUGUAGGAGUACGUAACGACCCGUCCAGUCGUUUAAAGAAUUUAUGCCCCGAUCCUUAUUAGGGAAUUGGAGAUUCGUAGCUUAUUUAGGGUUGACAUGCCGAAAGUUGAAUUUUUGAAGUUUAUAAUUUGAAUGUGAGAUUUUAAUAUUAGUGUCGGAAUGGGAUUCUGGAAGUUGGGUUAGCUCUAAUGUUGAAUGUGACGUGCUUGCAAAAUUUUAGGUCAUUCGGACGAGGUUUGAUAGAUGUUUUGAUCGAAAGAGUAAAUUGAUUGUUCUUAGGCUUGAAUCAAAUGUUAAAUUGGUGUUUUGAUGUUUUUUUGAGCUUUCCAAAGAUUGUAACAAGUUUGAAUGAUAUUUUAUGAUUGGUUGACAUGUUUGGUUGAGGUCCCAUGUGCCUCAGGUGCUUUUCGGAUGCUCAACGUGUCAUUUUUGGACUUAGGUAUGCAGCAGAUUUGCUGGUUUUUCUGUUACAGACUUUUGGCCUUUGCAUUCGCGAAGGGUUGAUUACCUUCGUGAAGGCUGUCCAGGGGAAGUAUAGUGAAUGCAAGGAGCAGAGCGCAUGCACAAAAAGGAAAGACUGAGCAAUUAUGGACCCCAUGGAAUUUCUCUAUGCUUUCGCGAGCAUUGGGUCGCGUUCGCGAAGGUCCUGGAGCUAAAGCUACGCGUUCGCAGGUGGACCCUCGCGUUCGCGAAAGAGAAAGUUGGCCAGUAGGAGUUUUGUGCAUCGCGUUCGUGAUUGUAGUCUCCCGUUCGUGAAAAAGAACGUGUCUGGGUAGAACUUAAAUUUCAAAUCGAGGGUCUUGAGUUCAUAUCAUAAAAUUGAAUUGGGUGCUUUGUAGGAGGUGAAUUUUGGAGAGAUUUUUGGAGGGAGUUUGUGGGCAAUGAUUUGUAUCCCUUGUUUGCUUAUAAUCCUUUAAUCUAAAGAUGAAUUAAUCAUCUAAUUUUGGAUUUGGGUUGAGAAAUUGGGCGGGGNNNNNNNNNNNNNNNNNNNNNNNNNNNNNNNNNNNNNNNNNNNNNNNNNNNNNNNNNNNNNNNNNNNNNNNNNNNNNNNNNNNNNNNNNNNNNNNNNNNNNNNNNNNNNNNNNNNNNNNNNNNNNNNNNNNNNNNNNNNNNNNNNNNNNNNNNNNNNNNNNNNNNNNNNNNNNNNNNNNNNNNNNNNNNNNNNNNNNNNNNNNNNNNNNNNNNNNNNNNNNNNNNNNNNNNNNNNNNNNNNNNNNNNNNNNNNNNNNNNNNNNNNNNNNNNNNNNNNNNNNNNNNNNNNNNNNNNNNNNNNNNNNNNNNNNNNNNNNNNNNNNNNNNNNNNNNNNNNNNNNNNNNNNNNNNNNNNNNNNNNNNNNNNNNNNNNNNNNNNNNNNNNNNNNNNNNNNNNNNNNNNNNNNNNNNNNNNNNNNNNNNNNNNNNNNNNNNNNNNNNNNNNNNNNNNNNNNNNNNNNNNNNNNNNNNNNNNNNNNNNNNNNNNNNNNNNNNNNNNNNNNNNNNNNNNNNNNNNNNNNNNNNNNNNNNNNNNNGGGGGGGGAAUUUGAAAAAGUUCAUAGACAUAAAUUUCAAGUUUUGAUUAGGAAUUAGACAUUGGAUUUGGAUAAUUUUUGUAUGGAUAGACUCGUGAGAGUAUGAGGAUUCUGAAAAUGUAAAUUAUAACUGAUUCUGAUAUGUGGGACUGGGGGUAUUUUUGUAAUUUUAUCUGAUUUCCCGUAUCAACAUAGAAUUUAUUUGUAGAAUUAGUUACUUGAAGUUAUAUUUAUAUUAUGCAAUUGAAUUAAAUAGAUUCGGUCCAUUUGGAGUCGAGUACUCGUGGAAAGAACGUGGUUUUGUGUUAAUUUUGUAUCGGUUUGAGGUAAGUGGCUUGCCUAACCUUGUGUGGGGUAAUUCCACUUAGGAUUUGGUAUUAUUGAUAUUUGAAAUUCCUUGUAGGGUGAGGUGAUGAGUACGUACUUGUGCUAAUUGUUGAAAAUCCGAUUUUUAUUAAGCAAUUAUCAUCGUGUUUUCUUUCCUAUUUAUACUACUCGUGAUUCAAUACAAUUGUUAGUUUGGGAAAGCAUGUCUAAUUUACUUAAUUGCUUUUAUUGCUCAAACUACCUAAUUUGGAUUAUGUGCAUUAUGCUAGGCUAGAAAUACUAGUUUUACCUUGGCAUAGACUUUUAGUUGAAUUAUGUGUUCUUCGUGUUGUUGCUGUGUGCUUACUUUGGGACUACGGAUUUAGAUUGCGGGAGAUCCCCCUGCACCUUUACAUUGAAACUACGGGACUGCACCCACUAGAUUCUCCCAGUACUGAGUAUUCAUAUUUGGGACUACGGAUCAGAAUUCUGGUAGAUACCCGCGCAUUAGUUGGACAAUGGGACGGUAUCCCGUAAGGUCCACUAGAUAAUUCUAUUUCGGACUACAGGACAAUAUCCUGGGAGAUCCCUAGUUAUUAUCUCUGAGUGGAGUUGUACUCCUUUCCAUGGUUAUUUUAUCUCUGUUAUAGAUAUUGUUGUUCCUUCUAUUCUGUGUUAUUUAUUACGGUUACACUUAAUGACAUUGUCUCAUUCUAUACUGUUAUACCUUAUAUUUCAUUUAAUAUCAAUAGGGCUCUGAAUUUCCUCGGCCCUACUCGAUCGAGCUUAUGCUUGGCACUUACUGAGUACCAUUGUGGUGUACUCAUGCCCUUUCUUCGCAUGUUUUUCAUGUUCAGAUCUAGGUACUUCCACUCAGUCUUAUUGUCACACCUCCUUUUUCCUUCACCCCCGAAAGGUAUAAGGGACUUUUUAAUUAAAGGACAAUCAAAACAGUAUUAUUAUUUAUGAAUCAAAGCCACCACUUGGGAUAAUUUGAUGGUGUCCCAAAUCAUCGGUUCAAAUCCCGACUCGAGGAAAAGGUUGACUCUGUUUUACAGUCCACAAAUACAGAAAUCCUGGUAAGGAUUCUACUAACAUGGAAGAAGGUGUUAGGCGUUCCCAAGUUUUAUGGUUCUAGCAUGGUCGCUCAACUGUUAUUAUUAUCCUAAUUAUCUUAUUAUAAAAUACUUUAAAACCUAUGUGCAUUUUAGCUUUAAAUCGCUUUAAAUUUUUUUAAGUAAGAGUUUAACGUCGGCUAAAAUAUAUUUUUUGGACUGCGCCACAAGAAAUUCACCCGCAAUCCGAAACACAUUUUAUUCAACAUUGUAUAGACUUGAAUGUAGAACACAUGAAGUGCACACUCGAAUUUAUGAAGGUAAUUUUAAUAUUAUGCCCCUACAGCAACUAUGCGGUUUUUUUCUAAACUUUGUGAGGGACAUGGAAAAUUUUAUGAAUGGCGCGCCUCGAGUUCUAAGGAUUUAAAAGAAAUAAUUAAAUUAGGACCACGUAUUUGAUAUUUUAUUUGGCACGGCGCACCUUAAAUCCAAUUUUUAAAGGAAAUUCAAAAUCAAACUCUUAAGGCCAUAACUAUAUUUGCUAAGAUGGCACACCUUAACUAAUUCUCCAAAAUUCCUUAUUUUAAAACCAUGAGGGUCAUAGACUAUCUCUACUAAUAUGGCAUACCCUGAAACUAAUUUAAUUGUAGUACUUCUAGCCCCCUUUUUAACAUGUUAUCUAAGCAAGAAAACUUUGCGUAAAAGAAACUAAACAGAAAGAAACAGAUAUGUUAUUAACUGGCUCGUACAAUUGCAACCAUGCGGGAUAAGAUAGAAGAAGGCAGGCCCAAUGCAAUGGAGGCCUGCAAAUCGACUUCAUGUAGUAUCUUGACCCAAGGCCCAAAGAAGGGUCUAAAUUUAGCAGUAAAUCCUGAAGAAGAAAAAAGACUCGAGUUCGAGUCCCCAGGUCAUGUAAGGAGAAUACCAAAUUAGAAAUGUGAUCCUAGCAAGGCCUUUGAUAACUAACUAUCCUUUGACAAUUGCGCUUCAGUUAAUUCUACAUGGGCAAUUAUGUCAAAUUUCCAGUACAAUUUGAGCCUAUUUUCAUGCGUAAUGUCAAAUAAAAUCUUAUGGGUCUAUCUAAUAGAUACAAGUCCUAACAUUAAAUGAAAACUAACAUGUUUUUGCAACAUAAAUAAAUCAAUGCACAGCCUGCCUUUUAAGGUAACUUGGAUCAUUUUCCCUUUCUUCUAGCACGACUUAUAUUGGUUACUACUUAAAAAGAAUUCAGUCCCUCAUUACAUGAAUGUGGAAAAAUUGAUCUACAAGGGAAUAUGCUGUAACAAUCAGAUACACUGCUUAGCAAGAGGAUACAUACACAAUCACACCAUUUAGCAUGAUCUAACUACAUAUGCAACCAAAUAAGCUAUGUACCAAUUUUUUUCAGAAUACUUUCAAAUAUUCAAUCUCGAACUACAGGAUACUUUCUAGAAGACUGAUCUCCCAUCAGAUAAUAUGCACUACAUCUUUCAGGUGAUAUUGACAUAAUCCAACAGAAUAUAAUGCAUCAUGCAAAAUCAGCAAAUAAAAAAUAAAUAAAACUAAGCUACUGAACAGAGCAAAUUGAAGUUGUGUUUGAACUCCCAAUUUUAUUUCAUACUUCAAACAAUCUUCACAUGAUAUAGGAUUCAAGAGCAAGUACCUGAUUAUAGCAAAAUAAACCAGAGAAACCAAAGUUGGAGUCAGUAAACAGCAACAGAAAAAUCAGCCUCCAAGAAUGACUAACAACAGGGAAAUCCACUUCUUCCCGCCAAGGAAAAACCCAGAUGAACAACAUACAAUAGCAAUCUGACUAGCUAAGAAUUUUUUAAAACAAAAUUGGACCAGCCUUGUCCAAAAAUGCAAGAAAUGCAUUAUUCUCUCGGAAUUCCUUAGGCUCAGCCAUUUUCCUUCAAAAUUUUCAUAGUGUUUUUUUCUUCUCUCUCAAUGAAUGGAAAGAAAACUUAUAUAGGCAUGCCAAGGGCGGCCCUAAUACAUCUAGCCAAUUCCCCAUUUACCCUUCCCUUUACAAAAAUAUCUGACACUUUCAACUCUUAUCAUAUUCUUUAGAACCUUCUAUCCUAAAAGAAUUUGAUUCCCCCCCCCCCUAUUGCGCGCACGCGCGCGCGCACACACAAGCACACACACACACGGUGACCUUACACUAACUGGUUAUUACAAUCUUUGCCCCUCCCCCCUAAGACCCCUCUAAGUUUCUAUACUUAGCAUUAACCCUCAUAUGGAUCCCUGA